rnacentral:rRNA from 1 species
UACGUAGGGUCCAAGCGUUGUCCGGAUUUAUUGGGCGUAAAGAGCUCGUAGGCGGUUCCGUAAGUCGGAUGUGAAAACUCGGGGCUCAACCCCGAGACGCCAUCCGAUACUGCGGUGACUUGAGUCUGGUAGGGGAACACGGAAUUCCUGGUGUAGCGGUGAAAUGCGCAGAUAUCAGGAGGAACACCGGUGGCGAAGGCGGGUCUCUGGGCCGAUGACUGACGCUGAGGAGCGAAAGCGUGGGGAGCGAACAGG